ACAUAUUUUCUGCGGAGCAGAGCAGAGCAGAGAGCAGCUUCUGGGACACUCCUGAAACCCCCUGCAGUGCAUCACAAGCACUGUCUAGAAGGGUUAAGUUCAGCUCCAGCGGCCACGUCUCAGACAGAAGGCGACGCAGCCGUGCCCGGUGGAAUCCAGCCGUCACUCAUUCAAUUAAUCUCUAUAUUAGAGAAGCACAGUAGAAAACAAUGAAGGGAGAAAGAGAAGAGAGACAGCGUGGAACAAAGAUUCUGGGAGUGUUGAAAUUACAGCGUCAGCAUCUUCAAUCUCUAGGCUACCAGGACACCCCGUACUUUGUGUUGCGUUAAUAAAGAACUCAUUGAUGAGAGAACCCUAAAGCACAGCAGGUGGCAGUAAUUUAUCAAGUGGACUCCUGACCAGCGGGCUGGUGGAGAGACUCGUCAGCACCAUGGCAGCCGUCACCUUGUCCAUGUCUACUUCCUCCUCCGACCGUCUGUCAAAACACAACAGCAACAAAAGCAAAAAGAGGAUUUUACUGAGUAUCAUCUGCUCCCAUUAUACUGAAUAAUUACACAUUCAAAAAGACACAGUAACCCUUAUGUUAUUUUAAGAUGAGAAACUCAAGGCACUGUAUACUGUGUUUUUCGCAUGCAAAUGUUAACAGGCCACAAUACACACACACCAUACACACAUAGCUGUGUAGAACACAGUCAAUGUUUUCAUUUCCCUCAGCAAGAUGUUUUAAAAAAAGGACAAAAAUCAGGCCUUCUGGUAUUAAAGUCACUCCGCAUUGCAUUCUGCUGCAAUGACUGCAAUAGAAGCUGCUAAUUACAUUUAAGUUUGUUUUCUUGUCCUUUGUGGGUGACUGAUGCAAUCGCCCAGACACCAUUGGAAAAAUCAACAGCCAACAGAUGAAAUGCUACUAUACACAAUCAAAAUAAAAAAAAGAUAAAUGUACAACUAAA